AUAAAUGGAAUUGAAAAUAUCAGUUCUGAAUACAAUGACAUUUAAUUUAGUUACCAAUUGUUUAUUUUCUGAUAAAAAGUAAUGUAAUUGGUAAAAUUCUAUUUGUUUUUAUAUAGCAUGGUGUGGCUACGUGAAUUUGGCAAUAUAUCGAAGCGACCGCAGCCUAUGGACAUUGCCUACAUAAAUCGACACAAGAUUGUAUGAUGGAUAAAUGAAUCUUCCCAAAUGAAUUACGCAAAAACAAGGACACAACUGAGGUUUCUAAGGAAUUUAUAAACUAGGAAUCUUAAAAGAAGAUGCUAAUAUAAAUCUCAAAGCAACCAAUUUACAUUGGCAAAUUGAGUUCCACCCCGUCCCCGCCCGCGCUCCUGUCCCCUGCCCCUGGCCCUGCGCGACUUGCCGACAAGUAGCAAUUGGCGUAAUUAACAAGCGCCACUUGACAAUUUGCUGCGGCCGACGAUCUCAGUAAAGCGGUGAUAUAAUAUUCAUAGAGGACGGCCAGGACGCCUUGUCUCGGCCCGCAGUAACCGCUGUGCUCCUCGCCUCGCCACACACACGGCACAGCUUCUACGAGUACUGCAUAUUGCCAACGAAUUCAUAUUCCCCACCUUAAAGUUGAUACUAAAAAAUUAGACUGUCAAUUACACCUUUCAACAUCUCUUUGUCGUGACAGACUGGAAUGUUGCUAGUAGUUUUGGAUGUUGCGCAAAGUAUUUAAUGUCAGGCAGUACAAAAAUGUUGUAUGUACAUUUUGUUACUGUCGGAU